rnacentral:rRNA from 1 species
CCAAUAGCGUAUAUUAAAGUUGUUGCAGUUAAAAAGCUCGUAGUUGAACCUUAGGCCCGUGCGGGUGGUCCGUCCUCUGGGCGAGCACUGCCUCGUCGCGGGUCUCACCUUCUGGCGAGCGUGGAUGCCAUUCACUUGGUGUCCGCGGGAACCAGGACCUUUACCUUGAAAAAAUUAGAGUGCUCAAAGCGGGCUCGUACGCUUGAAUACAUUAGCAUGGAAUAAUGAAAUAGGACGACGGUUCUAUUUUGUUGGUUUCCGGGACAGUCGUAAUUAUUAAUAGGGAUAGUUGGGGGCAUUCGUAUUCAAUUGUCAGAGGUGAAAUUCUUGGAUUUAUUGAAGACGAACUACUGCGAAAGCAUUUGCCAAGGAUGUUUUCAUUAAUCAAGAACGAAAGUUGGGGGAUCGAAGACGAUCAGAUACCGGCGUAGUCUCAACCAUAAACUAUGCCGACUGGGAAUCGGGCGAUGUUAUUUUUCGUGACUCGCUCGGCGCCCCGAG